GAUGAACGCUGGCGGCGUGCCUAAUACAUGCAAGUCGAGCGAACAGACGAGGAGCUUGCUCCCCUGACGUUAGCGGCGGACGGGCGAGUAACACGUGGAUAACCUACCUAUAAGACUGGGAUAACUUCGGGAAACCGGAGCUAAUACCGGAUAAUAUAUUGAACCGCAUGGUUCAAUAGUGAAAGACGGUUUUGCUGUCACUUAUAGAUGGAUCCGCGCCGCAUUAGCUAGUUGGUAAGGUAACGGCUUACCAAGGCAACGAUGCGUAGCCGACCUGAGAGGGUGAUCGGCCACACUGGAACUGAGACACGGUCCAGACUCCUACGGGAGGCAGCAGUAGGGAAUCUUCCGCAAUGGGCGAAAGCCUGACGGAGCAACGCCGCGUGAGUGAUGAAGGUCUUCGGAUCGUAAAACUCUGUUAUUAGGGAAGAACAAAUGUGUAAGUAACUAUGCACGUCUUGACGGUACCUAAUCAGAAAGCCACGGCUAACUACGUG
rnacentral:rRNA from 1 species